UACGUAGGGUGCAAGCGUUAAUCGGAAUUACUGGGCGUAAAGCGUGCGCAGGCGGUUUUAUAAGCCAGAUGUGAAAUCCCCGGGCUUAACCUGGGAAUGGCAUUUGGGACUGUAAGGCUAGAGUACGGCAGAGGGGACUAGAAUUCCUGGUGUAGCAGUGAAAUGCGUAGAUAUCAGGAGGAACACCAAUGGCGAAGGCAGCUCGCUGGGACGGUACUGACGCUGAGACGCGAAAGCGUGGGGAGCAAACAGG
rnacentral:rRNA from 1 species